rnacentral:rRNA from 1 species
UCUAAAAAAUAGUAAGGGCACAUGGUGAAUGCCUUGGAAAAUGGAGCCGAAGAAGGACGUGAUUACCUGCGAAAAGCAUCGGGGAGCUGGAAGUGAGCUUUGAUCCGGUGAUAUCCGAAUGGGGAAACCCAAUACGAUUAAUCUCGUAUUAUCCAUAAGUGAAUACAUAGCUUAUGAGAAGGGAACCUUGGGAACUGAAACAUCUUAGUACCAAGAGGAAAAGAAAAUAAAUAAUGAUUCUGUUAGUAGCGGCGAGCGAACGCGGAAGAGGCCAAACCAGUCUACGGGCUGGGGUUGUAGGACAUCUUUUUAGAGUUACAAAAUCAACAUAUAGUAGAAGCUACUGGGAAGUAGCGGCAUAGAGGGUGAUACCCCCGUAUACGAAAUGUGUUGAUCUCUUAGAUGGAUCCUGAGUACGGCGAAACACGUGAAAUUUUGUCGGAAUCCGCCGAGACCACUCGGCAAGCCUAAAUACUCCCAUUUUACCGAUAGUGAACCA